GUGCUCACUUCAGCAGCAUAUAUACUAAAACGUAGAAUGAUACAGAGAAAAUGAGCAUGGCCCCUGAACAUGGAUGACACUCAAAUGUGCGAAGUGUUCUAAAUUUUA
ensembl:snRNA U6 U6 spliceosomal RNA